UUCGGUGUGAUGAUAGUUUAAAGCAUUGAUAAGAAAUGAUUGUUGCUUGUAUUCGUACUGUCUGACCAUA